GAUGUUUAUACGACGUCAUAAACACGGUCAACUUUGGUGUUUAUGACGUCGAUAUAGGACGUCAUAAACACGGUCAACUUUGGUGUUUAUGACGUCGAUAUUCGACGUCAUAAACACGAUCAACUUUGGUGUUUAUGACGUCGAUAGACGACGUCAUAAACACGGUCAACUUUGGUGUUUAUGACGAUAUACGACGUCAUAAACACGAUCAACUUUGGUGUUUAUGACGUCGAUAUUCGACGUC